GUCUCUUUUUCUAUUUUAUGAUACCUUGCCAAUUGCAGACAACAUCAAUGCCCAGACACUCUGAUUUUGUUUUUUAGUUUUUCUCUUAGUGCAAUAGUUUAUUUUGCAUAAGAUCUGUCUUAUAAAUUUUCAUAGGUAAUAAUAUUACCAAAUGCUUUGCCAUUGCAUAUGACUAAUUGCCACUUUAUAGCCUCCACGGGGGGUGGCCAUUCACAAUCCCCAUGCCCUGUAGGGUCAACCGCUAAGUGUAUGCCACAUGUUUUAGAGAUUUGUUUUUUUUCAUAGCAGCAUCCAAUCCUAGCAUAAAUAACUGUUUUAGUCAGCAUGGAUUAGGUUAGGCUGUAAAAGCCAAGAACUCAUAUUUCAAUAGCUUAUCGUAUGAAGAUUUCUGUUUCAUACAAAGUCUACUAUGAGCCUCGAGAACUCUCCAGGCAGCUGAGCUGUCUUCUAUGUGAUGGCUCAGUAUUGUCCUUCCUUAGCGAUGCAAUUUUCCAAUACUCAUGGCAGAGAAAAAGUGGGGUACAGAGUUAAGUGCCAACAAUUGAAAUUUUUUUCCUGGGAGUGAUACCUAUCAGUUUUGCCAUGCUUAACUUCCAGGAGGAAGGGAUGUAUAUUCUUCUUAUUUGUCCAGAAGGAAAGGAGACUUGGUUAUAAGUGAACAGAGCUCACAUCUACCAAAUAUCCUGACUGUGACCUAUUGAAUGGGAACAUCAAUUUAGAUGAACCAGGGAGGACACCACAAAUCAUGGACCCAACUGAGAAUAAAACUUUGUCACUCAGCUUUGAGGUUCUUGAGGUUGGAGAGGAUAUAAAAGCUUUCAUUCAAUGUUUGAAUCCUCUGAUACAAGAUUUGCUUCUUUUCUACCACCAGUUGAUAAACCUAAUAACUCAUUUGUUGGAAAUCUACUACCCUCCACAAGAAGGACCUUCCUUUCUUAUAUUGGGGUACAAUGUGUAUUUGUCUCCUGUCUAUGAAUCCUAUUUUUCCUGCUUUUCUUCCUGCAGCCAUUUAGAAGAGGCAUUAUUUAUUUAUUUAUUUAUUUAUUUUUGUGACAGAGUCUUGCUCUGUCACCCAGGCUGGAGUGCAGUGGUGCGAUCUUGGCUCACUGCAGGCUCUGCCUCCCGGGUUCACGCCAUUCUCCUGCCUCAGCCUCCCGAGUAGCUGGGACUACAGGUGCCCACCACCACGCCCGGCUAAUUUUUUUGUCUUUUUUAAUAGAGAUGGGGUUUCACCGUGUUAGCCAGAAUGGUCUCGAUCUCCUGAACUUGUGAUCCACCUACCUCGGCCUCCCAAAGUGCUGGGAUUACAGGCGUGAGCCACAGCGCCCAGCCAGAAGAGGCGUUUUUUAAAAAUAAGAAAACACUUCAGAUGUUUUUAAUAUGCCAUCAUAAAAUGUCCUGGAAGGGUGCACUAAAACUGUUUAAAAAUGACAACUUUUGUGAAGUGGGACUAGGGGAUAAGGGAGAUAAUUCUAGAAGUUAAGACUCAUACUGGAUUUAAAAUAUACUCAUUCAUGUAUUAAUUUAAUAGCAGUAAUAAUUAUUAUUUUAAAAUAACAUUAUGUCCUCUAUGAGUCUCCUCUUAAAAAUGCAAAUGUUUACAGCUAAUUUUUUUUCUCAAAUAAUAAUUACUUUUAGGCCUUACUUCUGUCUUUUUAUUUUCUCUGCUCAUGGCUCUAUCCUUUUGAAAGGUAUUUGAGUGUGGCAGCCAAAUAGAACCAAAAUGACGAAUUUAUUUAAUGGUGAUUUAGUUGUGUGUAUGUGUACAGGUGUCUAAAUGUAUGUUGAUAUGCACAGAUUAGACAUUGUUUAGUAUACAACCCUUAGUUUAGCAUAUAGAACUUCAUAGAUAUAUAGAGAAAAUUAUUACAGUCACUAAAAAUGGAAGAAAAAAGGAUUUUAAUAGAAAAAAAUAAUAUAUUAUUUUCCACACAGGACAGAAAUGACAUGAUCUUUAUUUUUGUGUCGUGGGUUUUCCUACCUGUCUUAACUACAGAAAAAUAACCUGGCAUAUACUCUUCUAACUAACAGGUCAAAAAGCAUGCAUUGAAGGAUAUUUAUUAGUUUUCAAAUACACUAUUGUUUUGUACUGUCUUUGUAAUAAAAAUGUGUAUUUUUCUUAGGCAACAUCUUAUUUGUUUAAUGUUUUAAUUUUACCACUUGAAUUUUUCAAUUUUUUCUUUAAUCAUGAAAUGUCCAAAAUUGUAGUAUCUUAGGGAGUCAAGAAAGUGCUUUCUUUCCAACCCCCUCCAACCAGAAG
rnacentral:lncRNA from 1 species